CUACACUCACCUUUUGUACCAGGCUGUAAACAUGUUUAUUUUCUGCUGUAAAGAUCGUCUUUUUUUAAUUGGUGCGGAUUUUGUUGGCGGUACUUCCGGAUCCAGCCUCAAGCAGAUCAUCAAUGAAUUGCAGUUUUAGCACUUCCGCAUUGGACUCUUAGUUAGAGGUCGCAGCUUAGCGUAGAUGAAGAGGCAGGAAAUGAUGGACGCCACUAUUCCGCUUUCCAUCGAGUGUGUGGACAACGCAGAAGGAGUUUCUGCUGUAAUCGUGUAUGAAGAUCAAACGUUCCCCAUUUGUCCUCCGGAGCAUGAUGUGGAGAGAGCUGCCCCUGAGAAUGAGCAAAACUCUCCGUCCUCCAGCGAUGACGAUGAAGGCAUUGUGGUGAACUGAGUCCUCUAGGACUACAGCAUUUCAUUCCUGAUGCGGAGGAAGAAGAGGUCAAAACUAAUCUCCUCAGAAGAGCUUUCCCAUGUGUGCCAGAUUUAACGCAUUACAGCAAACACUACUAAAUUUCCAGAGUGUUUUUUUAACAUUGAUAAGCUCUCUCCCUGCAAAUUUUAAUCUGAGAAAAAUUACUUGUACUGUUGCAUUAAUUUCACAGGAGGUCAUUUUUAAAACAGACACAUUUCUCUGGUUCAAACUCAAUAAAGGAGACAACACAAAGGCUAAGCUCACACAAGACAGCCCAUUGAUAAUCACAUCACUAAGCACAAACUACUAAAACAUCUGUGUCACUAAUAUUAAGUGGUUUUAUAAAAAUGUAUGGGGUUUUAUUUUGUGUAAUUUCAUCAGAGUUAAUUCAUGUAUUUUUAAGUCCAAUAAUGUUGGAACUAAAAUAAA